AGCCGUGCUUUUGCUGCCAGUCUCCCUAGGAGCCAUCUAGCCCAUCCUCCCUAACAGACCUUCACUGUUUCAUACCAAAGUCCUAUCUGUUCUGAAGCACCUAGAGAUAUCUACAGUCAGAUCACACUUGGUUUUUCUCUGAAUUAACUAUCCCUCAUUACUCGGAUUCCUUUUGUUGUCCCUUAAGGCUCUCAAAGAGGAUGGAUGAGCUGGAAUGGAGCCGUGCAGCUGCUAGCGGGUUGCUUCGACACUGCCAGCUUGGCCAGAGCAGCUCCGGUAUGUCCAUGCUCCGCUGCUCUGUGUGGUGUGGCUCUGUUGUCUGAGCGUGCAUGGGACACAUCAGCUGUGGUAACAGGUAAGGGCUUAGAGCACCGUCAGCCUCCAGAGCUAAGG